rnacentral:rRNA from 1 species
GAUGAACGCUGGCGGCGUGCCUAAUACAUGCAAGUCGAGCGGACCAAAGAGAGCUUGCUCUCUGAGGUUAGCGGCGGACGGGUGAGUAACACGUGGGUAACCUGCCUGUAAGACGGGGAUAACUUCGGGAAACCGAAGCUAAUACCGGAUGAUAAAGAGAAACGCCUGUUUCUUUUUUGAAAGUCGGCCUUGUGCUGACGCUUACAGAUGGGCCCGCGGCGCAUUAGCUAGUUGGUGAGGUAACGGCACACCAAGGCGACGAUGCGUAGCCGACCUGAGAGGGUGAUCGGCCACACUGGGACUGAGACACGGCCCAGACUCCUACGGGAGGCAGAAGUAGGGAAUCUUCGGCAAUGGACGAAAGUCUGACCGAGCAACGCCGCGUGAGCGAUGAAGGCCUUCGGGUCGUAAAGCUCUGUUGUCAGAGAAGAACAAGUACCGGAGUAACUGCCGGUACCUUGACGGUACCUGACCAGAAAGCCACGGCUAACUACGUGCCAGCAGCCGCGGUAA